UACGGGAGGCAGCAGUGGGGAAUAUUGCACAAUGGGCGCAAGCCUGAUGCAGCCAUGCCGCGUGUAUGAAGAAGGCCUUUCGGGUUGUAAAGUACUUUCAGUCGUGAGGAAGGUGUUAAGGUUAAUAACCUUAGCAAUUGACGUUAGCGACAGAAGAAGCACCGGCUAACUCCGUGCCAGCAGCCGCGGUAAUACGGAGGGUGCGAGCGUUAAUCGGAAUUACUGGGCGUAAAGGGCACGCAGGCGGUUAAUUAAGUUGGAUGUGAAAUCCCCGGGCUUAACCUGGGAAUGGCAUUCAAGACUGGUUAGCUAGAGUCUUGUAGAGGGGGUAGAAUUCCAUGUGUAGCGGUGAAAUGCGUAGAGAUGUGGAGGAAAGUACCGGUGGCGAAGGCGGCCCCUGGACAAAAGACUGACGCUCAUGUGCGAAAGCGUGGGGA
rnacentral:rRNA from 1 species